UCCUCUGUAGUUCAGUCGGUAGAACGGCGGACUGUUAAUCCGUAUGUCACUGGUUCGGUCAGUCAGGAGGAGCCA
rnacentral:tRNA from 1 species